UAGGAAUCUUGCGCAAUGGGCGAAAGCCUGACGCAGCAACGCCGCGUGAGGGAUGAAGGUUUUCGGAUUGUAAACCUCUUUCAGUAGGAACGAAAUUGACGGUACCUACAGAAGAAGCUCCGGCCAACUACGUGCCAGCAGCCGCGGUAAUACGUAGGGAGCAAGCGUUGUCCGGAUUUAUUGGGCGUAAAGAGCUCGUAGGCGGUUUAGUAAGUCGGGUGUGAAACCUCCAGGCUCAACCUGGAGCCGCCACUUGAUACUGCUAUGACUAGAGUUUGGUAGGGGAUGAUGGAAUUCCUGGUGUAGCGGUGAAAUGCACAGAUAUCAGGAGGAACACCGAUGGCGAAGGCAGUCAUCUGGGCCAAUACUGACGCUGAGGAGCGAAAGCGUGGGGAGCAAAC
rnacentral:rRNA from 1 species